CAGUCGCCACGGGAAAACGGAGGGUGCGAGCGUUAAUCGGAAUUACUGGGCGUAAAGCGCACGCAGGCGGUUUGUUAAGUCUGCUGUGAAAUCCCCGGGCUCAACCUGGGAAUGGCAGUGGAUACUGGCAAGCUAGAGUAUGGCAGAGGGGGGUGGAAUUCCACGUGUAGCAGUGAAAUGCGUAGAGAUGUGGAGGAACACCGAUGGCGAAGGCAGCCCCCUGGGCCAAUACUGACGCUCAUGCACGAGAGCGUGGGGAGCAAACAGGAUUAGAUACCCCUGUAGUCCCUGUCUCUUAUAU
rnacentral:rRNA from 1 species